AGUGCUCAGCAGGGCGAGGACAGGACAGAACGGGCCCCAUCACAGACUGCGCUUAGAAGGAACUCAGUAAAACAAAGACCAUUUUCUUCUGGAGGCAACUCAAGGAGAUUUCCAGCAUCACUGGUACUCAAUAUUGAAGGAAUGAAAAUACGUGAGGAAUAAAAGAAUGAAGAAAGUGACCUCUACCGCAAGGACACAGGCCCUGAAGGCUGAGACUGUGAAGGGGGCAGGCAAAGAUCCACGCCCAGACAGGCCACCCCUGCUCUCCUGGGAAAGGGGCCGAGAGCCAGAGAGUUCGGGGCAGAGAGAGCCUGAGUGCGAGGCCCAGGCCAGGGCCUUUACCAGCAAAGACCGGCCCCUCUGCCUGCGCCCUGAGGUCAUGGAGAAAGGCAGGGGUGGGGGUAUGGUCAUCCUUCCCAAGGUCCUGGAGUCAGGUCUGCUUACCAAGCCACCGUGUGUCCCAUGACAUUCUGGAGGCCUCCGGGCCCAAUGGAGGUCACAUCCACCGUCCUCCCGGCCCUGUCCUGUCCACUGGGUGGCUGCCCUCUUCCCACCCUCCAGUAUUGACUGCGUUGUGUGGGAUGGGGAAGACCUCCGGUCCCCUCCACCAAACAAAGCACAAGCCAAAGUGCCCACCAGCGUGAGUGCCGUGAGCACCGUGAACCUUCUCUAUGCCGAGGGGCACACAGCCUUGAGCGUCCACGGGGGAUGGGCCUGUGGGUGCUUUCCCUCUGCCCCAGGGAAGCGGUGGUAAUCACACCUGUGAGAUGCCGACAAUCAUGCGUGCGACCAUCCGUCUCUAGGUGCCCGGGGCCUGGAAGCCCAGGAGCUCCCACAUCCAGGGAGGAGGCACGGAUCAGAUCACAAGCGCCCAUCACUGCCCUCCGUGCAUACUGGGAAGGCUGAUGGCAGAGGCUAAGGAAGGGGAGAGGCCAGGAAAAGUGCGUGAAGAUACAUACCAAACACACAACGCUCAACUCUCGCAGAGCUUUCUCUAAAUGCAUCUCACUUACCGAAAGAGUACCUGAAAAACAAA
rnacentral:lncRNA from 1 species